GAUGAACGCUGGCGGCGUGCCUAAUACAUGCAAGUCGAGCGAACAGAUGAGGAGCUUGCUCCUCUGACGUUAGCGGCGGACGGGUGAGUAACACGUGGAUAACCUACCUAUAAGACUGGGAUAACUUCGGGAAACCGGAGCUAAUACCGGAUAAUAUAUUGAACCGCAUGGUUCAAUAGUGAAAGACGGUUUUGCUGUCACUUAUAGAUGGAUCCGCGCCGCAUUAGCUAGUUGGUAAGGUAACGGCUUACCAAGGCAACGAUGCGUAGCCGACCUGAGAGGGUGAUCGGCCACACUGGAACUGAGACACGGUCCAGACUCCUACGGGAGGCAGCAGUAGGGAAUCUUCCGCAAAGGGCGAAAGCCUGACGGAGCAACGCCGCGUGAGUGAUGAAGGUCUUCGGAUCGUAAAACUCUGUUAUUAGGGAAGAACAAAUGUGUGAGUAACUAUGCACGUCUUGACGGUACCUAAUCAGAAAGCCACGGCUAACUACGUG
rnacentral:rRNA from 1 species